ACUUAUAGGAAAUUUAUGCGGCAUUUGUCUCAUUUAAAAUACAAUUUGGUGCAGCAGUAGCAUUCCAUAUUCAAGCUGUUAAUCCAACAGAGUGGAUUACCGAGGAAGCUACUGAACCACGUGAUGUUCAUUGGCCUUUCUUUACUGUUUCAUUCCUUAAAAGAUGGAUCAGCAAGCUGGAGGGUGGAGAUUUAAAUAUGAACGAGUGUGUUUGUACGAGUUACUCAUUUCAAUAACAAUGUGAUGAUAUGGUAUAUUGCCAUGGUCCUGGAGCAGAUGGGAGGUUUGCCGCAGAAGGGGUGUCACCAAAUGAGG